UUUGACUGGCAGCUGCAGUCACGGAGAAACUUGCACAUCUCUGUUUGGGAAUGGAUCAGGACCCAGAGAGGAGGUCCAGCGUUUACUUUACAAAACCACAAUGGACUGUUUCAAACUGACAGCGUGAGGUGUUCUGCAGUAAACUGGAUUAACCGACAGAAGGACCCGAGGCCCUGGCGUACUUUUUCGCUGACCACGAUGCACCAGGACUGGAAAGCUGCUCCAUCAUCAUAUGUUUGGAAAUCACAAUUUAAAAACCACUAACAACUCAAAGGGGCUGCCCUCAGAUUAGACCUCAGCACCACCCAGUGACAGCAGACAGAUCAUCCUAUGAUCCACGCUUUGCAGUAACUCCAACAUUAACUGAUGAAAAAAGUGCAAAGGCUAAAGCACCAUAUUGUGUGCUUUCAGUGAAAGCUGCAGCUGUUUUAUUGAUAAAGUUAAAGACAAAAAGUCAAAGGGAUUAAUCACCCCUGCUAUGUAUCAGCAUAAACAGUACCUCAGUUUGGUGUUUCAGAAAGCUGCUGAUCUGCACAGCUUCUGUUUAAUAGACUGAAUGCAGUCAGCUGCAUGAAGAAGACAUGAGAUUUUCUCUGACAGCAUUGAAUACAACCUGAUGAAGGUCAAAGGUCGUCACUUGUAUGUUAAACUAAAAGGUUAAUCUACAGUUCUUUCACACUGCGUGUGUUAUUUGUAAUUGAGUCAGUCAUACCAGAAUAAUCAGAGGAUAAUAUAUAUUUUAAUAACUAGCUACAGGACUGAAUAUAACCUGAUCAUGUGAGUCCAGAGCCUCUUUAUAUGAGGAUGAUGUGCAGUACUUCUAACAGCACACAAACCAAAUGUCGCUGUCACACCGUUCAUGAAGUGCUGGGGUUGCACAUUUUCUGGGAUGGGCUUAAGGUGGAGGUCUGAAGAUUUCCCUCUGAGGGCGCUGCUGGUAAACAGUUUGAGUCCUGCUUGAUCCCUGCGAUGAGUUUCAGUCUUCCUGAUGUUUCUGAAAUGACGUCUUUCUCAGUAGUUAAACAGAACAUCUGGCAAAGGACAGCUGUGCUCCUGCUGGUCACUGGUUUUCCCCCAGGGUGAAUGUAUCUGUUGAUGAUUCUAAUAAA